rnacentral:rRNA from 1 species
AUUGAACGCUGGCGGCAUGCUUUACACAUGCAAGUCGAACGGUAACAGGCCUUCGGGUGCUGACGAGUGGCGAACGGGUGAGUAAUGCAUCGGAACGUGCCCAAUCGUGGGGGAUAACGCAGCGAAAGUUGCGCUAAUACCGCAUAAGCCCUGAGGGGGAAAGCGGGGGACCGAAAGGCCUCGUGCGAAUGGAGCGGCCGAUGUCAGAUUAGCUAGUUGGUGGGGUAAAGGCUCACCAAGGCGACGAUCUGUAGCGGGUCUGAGAGGAUGAUCCGCCACACUGGGGCUGAGACACGGCCCAGACUCCUACGGGAGGCAGCAGUGGGGAAUUUUGGACAAUGGGCGCAAGCCUGAUCCAGCCAUGCCGCGUGCGGGACGAAGGCCUUCGGGUUGUAAACCGCUUUCAGCCGGAAAGAAAUCGCUGUUUUUAAUAGAGGCAGUGGAUGACGGUACCGGAAGAAGAAGCACCGGCUAACUACGUGCCAGCAGCCGCGGU